AUUCCCAAGAGGAAAGAAACAAACAAACAAGGCGAAACAGCCUCUGGGUGAAGCACACUCGGCUGAAACUGUCAAAACUUGGAGAAGGGGAACUGCGGAGGCAGGCAGGAGAGGAGAAUCCUUAAACUCGGUGGAGGUUGGGAAGAUGCUGUGCCUCGAGGAUUAGUUUAAACAGGGGGCUAUAAAAGAUGUAACAGAUGCAAACUGUAACACAAGGGCCAUUAACCCUUUCCCUGCCGCCAAGCACACUUGGUCCCCACGCCCCGCACCUAUUGUCUCCGGUGCUAGAAGCUUUUCGGAAAACCUGGAAAAUUUUUAGGGGAAAAUCUUGAAAUAAGGAAAUGGUCACACAAAUGUCUGGGAUGAAACAGCUGGCCUGUCUGUAUUCAAGCUGAGACUUGCACACGAUUGCAUUUUUGGCCAGAAAUGGUGAGAAGAAAAAGCAUGAAGAAGCCGCGAAGUGUGGGGGAGAAAAAGGUGGAAGCGAAGAAA